rnacentral:rRNA from 1 species
GACGAACGCUGGCGGCGUGCUUAACACAUGCAAGUCGAACGGAAAGGCCCUGCUUUUGUGGGGUGCUCGAGUGGCGAACGGGUGAGUAACACGUGAGUAACCUGCCCUUGACUUUGGGAUAACUUCAGGAAACUGGGGCUAAUACCGGAUAGGAGCUCCUGCUGCAUGGUGGGGGUUGGAAAGUUUCGGCGGUUGGGGAUGGACUCGCGGCUUAUCAGCUUGUUGGUGGGGUAGUGGCUUACCAAGGCUUUGACGGGUAGCCGGCCUGAGAGGGUGACCGGCCACAUUGGGACUGAGAUACGGCCCAGACUCCUACGGGGGGCAGCAGUGGGGAAUAUUGCACAAUGGGCGGAAGCCUGAUGCAGCAACGCCGCGUGCGGGAUGACGGCCUUCGGGUUGUAAACCGCUUUCGCCUGUGACGAAGCGUGAGUGACGGUAAUGGGUAAAGAGGCACCGGCUAACUACGUG